AAAAAGAUAAGCUAAGAUAAGCUUAUGGAUUCAUAUUCCAUUUAUAGAGAUAAAUCCUCUUCUUUUUA
rnacentral:tRNA from 2 species